CCCAAACCGAUCAUGUCCUAUCCACAAGAAGCCACAUCCCCUCAAAAAAUGUAUUGGCUUUAGGAAGAAGCCCCUACAAGAACGAAAGGAACUCCUAAAGACCUUUGGGGUAUGUUAUAGGUGCUGUGCUUCCACUGAUCACUUUGCCAAGGAAUGUAAAACCCCUAUCAAGUGCAUAGAGUGCGGUUCCCAGGACCAUGUACAAGCUCUCCAUCC